GUCUGGGUGGCUCAGUUGGUUAAGCAUCCGACUUCAGCUCGGGUCAUGAUCUCACCAUUCGUGGGUUCGAAUCCCGUGUCAGGCU
rnacentral:tRNA from 1 species